AAAAAAAAAAAAACCCAAAAAACAUUUCAUUUCAUAUUUGAUUUCCUGGGCAAGCUUUCACUUCUUUUUAUGAAGCUCUGUCUGAUAGACGUGGGUCUUAGUGUCAGUGAGUUCAUUCUGCUGCUUUUAAUGAAGGUUACAUUACCUAGUGGAUAACCUUUGUAUCUGAAAAUUGUGGAUAUAAUUGCUCAACCUCAGUGUAAUUUGUAUACAAGGAUAACCUUUUUAGGGAGGGUAAGUAUUUCCAAAAUGUUGGCUUUGAUUUUCACUGUUUGUCCUGACUGUAUUUUAUCUAUUCAUUUAGUGAAAUCACACCAGAAGGAAGAAGGAUUACUAAAUUAGAUCAGAUUUUGCUAAAUGGAAAUAAUAUAACAAUGCUGGUUCCUGGAGGAGAAGGACCUGAAGUGUGAAUGAGUUUCCUUGACUUACACUAGAUUUUGUUUUGGCUUAUAAUGACAAGAAAAUGGAAUUUUUUUUCCCACUUUCUAAUGUUUAAAUCCCAUAAAGCUAAGUUUCCCGUUAAAGGGAAGUGCUUUGAAGAUGUGUACCCAUUUUUGUAAGUUAAUCAUGAUUAUCCUGGAAAAAGAAGAAAAGAGCUUCUUCUUUGCAGAUGAAAAUAAAGGUGUUUUUGGUUAA
rnacentral:lncRNA from 10 species